AGUUGUUCAUGUUUGAAUUCAAGUUUGAUGGAAAACUCUGGUGUGUGGAUGCAUCUCAAGAAGAUGGGUCAUUAGGCAGACUUGUCAACGACAACCACAUCAGUCCAAGUGCUAAGAUGAAAAUAUUAAAUAUCAAUGGAAAGCCCCAUCUAUGCUUAUUUGCAAGCAGAGACAUAAGUCCAGGCGAAGAAAUAGACUAUAAUUAUGGUGACUCGGAUUGGCCCUGGAGAUGCAAGACUGAGACCAGCCAGAUUCAGAAGACUGUGA